AGCUGUUGCGGAACGGACCUACAGCA
rnacentral:sRNA from 1 species